CCUACGGGAGGCAGCAGUGGGGAAUAUUGCACAAUGGGGGAAACCCUGAUGCAGCGACGCCGCGUGAAGGAUGAAGUAUUUCGGUAUGUAAACUUCUAUCAGCAGGGAAGAAAAUGACGGUACCUGACUAAGAAGCCCCGGCUAACUACGUGCCAGCAGCCGCGGUAAUACGUAGGGGGCAAGCGUUAUCCGGAUUUACUGGGUGUAAAGGGAGCGUAGACGGUAUGGCAAGUCUGAUGUGAAAACCCGGGGCUCAACCCCGGGACUGCAGUGGAAACUGCCGAACUAGAGUGUCGGAGAGGCAAGUGGAAUGCCUGGUGUAGCGGUGAAAUGCGUAGAUAUUACGAGGAACACCGGUGGCGAAGGCAGCUUACUGGACGAUGACUGACGUUGAGGCUCGAAAGCGUGGGGAGCAAACAGGAUUAGAUACCCGGGUAGUC
rnacentral:rRNA from 1 species